UAGUUUUUUAUGUAUAUAUAUAUAUGUAUAUCUAUAUGUAUUUUCUCUUAGCAAAAAUAGUUGAAAAUAGAAAAACAAAAAAAAUUUCUUCUGGAGUUUGUCAAAAGGGUGUUAUGUUAUGCUUCAUUUUAAGAGCAGUUAAGAGGAGCUGAUCGCUUUUUUUAGAUAAAUAAUAAGGAAUAGAAAGUUGAGAAAAUUUCUUCUGCAAUUUGUCAAAAGAAUGUUGUUCUAUGCUUCAUUUUAAGAUCUUCAUCGACUGGCUCCUCUUUCUGGAUUGGCAUUAUAUGCACAUGACAAAACAAAGUAGAUUAACAAAGUGUUUAAAAAUGACUUUAUUGUAUACUUUAGCUCAUAUUUUAUCAAAGCCUACAUUAA